rnacentral:lncRNA from 1 species
CAGACUCAGAAAAACAUCACUACUUGUGCUUAUUUGGUUUUCUGUUUAUAAACUUAUGGUAAUGAAAUUCAAAGCACUGAGUAGAAACAUUGUUCACUGAAGUUUUUUGGUGAAACUUCCAGAAACUUCCUUGGAACCAGAUUUCUGUUUUUAUAUUUAGCUUGAACAAAGCAUGAGUCAAGCCCCACUCCACAUGACAUGAAGCAUACAUUUAGUUCUGAUACUGCUACUUAGUUCUCAAAUACUCAUGCCUGUCUUCCUGCUCAGACCUCAUUCAUGACUUCAUCUUUAUCUUCUUAAUUUUAUGUCUGAUUCCAGUGUUAGAGAGAGAAAGAUCUUAAAGGGGGUCCCCUCCGUCUGUGUACCACCAGGAGAGUGACUUUCUCUGCCUCUUGUCCUUAGGGUGAUAAAGAGCUGAAGGCUGAUGCUGGUACAACAGGGCCAAGGCUGGUUCUGCAGCCUCAUCUUCAGACAAUGAGCUCCUGUGCUUGACAGAUGCCUGCAAAAUUCCAUCACACUUUUGCAUGGACCUGUUUGGGUCUCUGAGAAAGAAGGUUUCAGCCUCUCAAGAGCAAAGAUUUAUAUCCAAGAAGCUCUAUUGGCCCUGCACCAACGAUUACAAGUCUGCAAACUGUUGCAAACCGCAUGUCUGUAAAUCUCCUGGAACAUAAAUACUGAGUUUGUUCUCUGUCACCUUCAGGGACUUCAAAAUGAGUGAUGCCGUGAAGCUGGUGGCAUAUUCUGUAAGUGAAACACAAAGCUGAUGGCAGGUAGAAGUGAAGAAUGAUGUCCAUGUAGGCUUCUUGAUUGCAAAAUCCCUUAUUCCCUUAGAUGCUU